UACAGAGGUCUCAAGCGUUGUUCGGAUUCAUUGGGCGUAAAGGGUGCGUAGGUGGCGGGGUAAGUCAGGUGUGAAAUUUCGGAGCUUAACUCCGAAACUGCAUUUGAUACUGCCUUGCUUGAGGACUGGAGAGGAGACCGGAAUUCACGGUGUAGCAGUGAAAUUCGUAGAUAUUCGCAAGAACACCAGUGGCGAAGGCGGCUCACUGGCCCGGUACUGACGCUGAGGUGCGAAAGCGUGGGGAGCAACAG
rnacentral:rRNA from 1 species